CGUGUUUUUGUCAAAGGAGUCAGGUGAGAUGUAGCACUGUGAUGCGCUUGAUGUCUGGGGUAAAGGAACUACUGUUACUGUUGAACCAGAUGGUACCGAUGUGACUUCAGCCCUGUCUGUCGUGAGGCCCCAGAAAGGCAAAACCGAGAACUCAGAUGAACUUGACUCAGGUGUCUGUCUGGUCACUGACCCCCAUACAAAGCGUGAUCAGGUCAACAACCGCACCGUUGAUCCUGUUCCGUCUCAGAUCACCUACACCUCUGUUACAUCAAGCAACAAAAACAGCCACUCCUGUGAGACGGACGGGACCAUUGACAACAACGAAGCUGAUGAUGCAUGUAGGGACAUUCAUCCAGAAAAAGCCAAGCUGAACUUCUACCUGCUGGUGAUGAACGGAGUCCGAGUGGUGUUCACCAAAGCUCUGGCCUUCAGCACCGUCCUGACCAUAAGAGGGCUGCUCUUCUGAAAACAAACCACACGGAGAACAAAAGUGGAGAGAAUGAGAUUUAAAGUUAGAAUGUUCGUAUAAUUUAAUCUUUGUUUUCAAGAAGAUUUUGGCUCUGAUGAUAUGAUUUUGGAGCUUGUUGCAGGCAUGCUAAAACUGCAAGAAAUAAAUUAAACACUUUAUCUAUCACAAUGAUCAGAGCACCAACAGAGGCCUUCUCCUCUAAAACUGAAUGUGUUUCUAAAGACCAGAAACUAGAUAAAAAUGAUUUGACAAGAAAAUACAAAAUAAAGUCUAAAACAUUUAAAUUAGGUUGUUUUGCUUUUAUAAUGCACACAUCUUGAUCCAUAUUAAAAUUCAACUCAAAGAGAGAAACAUUGUGAAAUGCACAUUUAUUUACACUUGUGUGAAAGAUAAGUGAAAAUGCAUGUCACUCACAGUCUAAUAAAAUAUUUAAUAGGCAAAUAACAACAUAAGUAAAUAAUGAAGCACAACUACCCCUUUUUGAGUUCAUUGUACCUUUUUUCAAACAUCUUCUUUAAUUAAACAAUACAAAUUGUCUGUGUAUUUUUACUGUAAAUAUCUGUUGCUAAAAUAUUUUAUAUAUGACAAUUACAUUCAUGUUUAAUUUUUUCUUCUUCAUGGGCUUCCUCAGUUCUGUGUUUUAUGCUUCAAGACCUACAACUGAAACAUCAAAUCGUUCUGUAUUACUUUUCCAUCUAUGACAUUAUAAAAGUGCUGUUUUUACGUUUUAAUUCUCAAAAAUUCUUACUUUCACUUUUGUAUGCUUUUUGUGUAUUUGCUGAAUUUAUGGAAGAAUUGCUGUCUUGUUUGAAUAUUAAAGAAUAAAUAAUCA